GCAGGCAUCAACUUAUUUGGAUGGUUGCUAAGUAUACCGCAGAAGGUUUAUAUAAGAUUGCAAAUGUAUUGGCAUAAAGUGUGUGAAUGAUAUCGGUGAUCCAGAUUCUUUUAUGACACAAGAUAUCUAGAUUGGUGGGCUGCAGAACUUAAAAGUGUUAUCCCUAUAGAAAGGAAGCAAAAUUAGAUUUUAUUCACUGAUAAGAAG
rnacentral:lncRNA from 1 species